rnacentral:rRNA from 1 species
GAUGAACGCUGGCGGCGUGCCUAAUACAUGCAAGUCGAGCGAACAGACGAGGAGCUUGCUCCUCUGACGUUAGCGGCGGACGGGGGAGUAACACGUGGAUAACCUACCUAUAAGACUGGGAUAACUUCGGGAAAACGGAGCUAAUACCGGAUAAUAUAUUGAACCGCAUGGGUCAAUAGUGAAAGACGGUUUUGCUGUCACUUAUAGAUGGAUCCGCGCCGCAUUAGCUAGUUGGUAAGGUAACGGCUUACCAAGGCAACGAUGCGUAGCCGACCUGAGAGGGUGAUCGGCCACACUGGAACUGAGACACGGUCCAGACUCCUACGGGAGGCAGCAGUAGGGAAUCUUCCGCAAUGGGCGAAAGCCUGACGGAGCAACGCCGCGUGAGUGAUGAAGGUCUUCGGAUCGUAAAACUCUGUUAUUAGGGAAGAACAAAUGUGUAAGUAACUAUGCACGUCUUGACGGUACCUAAUCAGAAAGCCACGGCUAACUACGUG